CCAAUAGCGUAUAUUAAAGUUGUUGCCGUUAAAAAGCUCGUAGUUGAAUUUCGGGAUCAAUAUAUCGGUCGUGCCAUUGGUACGUACUGGUAUCAUUGGUUUCUCCUUUCUGACGAACCAUGAUGUCAUUAAUUUGGUGUUAUGGGAAGUUAGGACUGUUACUUUGAAAAAAUUAGAGUGUUUAAAGCAGGCUUUAGCUUGAAUACAUUAGCAUGGAAUAAUGAAAUAGGACGUUCGAACCUAUUUUGUUGGUUUCUAGGAUCAACGUAAUGAUUAAUAGGGAUAGUUGGGGGCAUUAGUAUUCAAUUGUCAGAGGUGAAAUUCUUGGAUUUAUUGAAGACUAACUACUGCGAAAGCAUUUGCCAAGGAUGUUUUCAUUAAUCAAGAACGAAAGUUAGGGGAUCGAAGACGAUCAGAUACCGUCGUAGUCUUAACCAUAAACUAUGCCGACUAGGGAUCGGAUGAUGUUAAUUUUUUAAUGACUCAUUCGGCGCCUUACG
rnacentral:rRNA from 1 species